rnacentral:rRNA from 1 species
GACGAACGCUGGCGGCGUGCUUAACACAUGUAAGUCGAGCGGUAAGGCCCUUUCGGGGGUACACGAGCGGCGAACGGGUGAGUAACACGUGGGUGACCUGCCCUUAGCUCUGGGAUAAGCCUGGGAAACUGGGUCUAAUACCGGAUAUGACUCCAUGACGCAUGUUGUGGGGUGGAAAGCCUUGUGCGGCUAGGGAUGGGCCUGCGGCCUAUCAGCUUGUUGGUGGGGUGAUGGCCACCAAGGCGACGACGGGUAGCCGGCCUGAGAGGGCGACCGGCCACACUGGGACUGAGACACGGCCCAGACUCCUACGGGAGGCAGCAGUGGGGAAUCUUGCGCAAUGGGCGAAAGCCUGACGCAGCGACGCCGCGUGGGGA